CUGGUUUGGCCGUGCUGGGGCUGGCCUGCCUCAUUAGAAAGCGUGUUUUGGAGCAGAGACAAUGAGGGAUGGGAAAGGUAACAAAAACCUCUUGGGAUUCCCGGAUUGCUCAGGAUGUUAUAACAUGUUCAAGCAUUGGUGGCCGUAAAACCAAGCUGUCUGUUCAGAAUCAAAGACUGAGUGCGUCCGGGGACUUAGCCGUUGCACAACUCGUCAGCAGAAAACACCUUUUCUUCAGCAUCUCCUAUGACUCCCCCUUACAUUUUGCAAACUAACUGCUGCACUCGGGGUGAAUAGUUAACAGAGAUACGAUAACAAAAAAGACUUUCCUUGAAGAUAUGAAAAGUUGGUCAAUAAUAGAGCAUGCGUUAGAAUCGCAUUCUAAUUUUAUAAUGGGAAGGGGUCUCUCCUUAUUGGAAUUGGUGUCUAGGGAUGCAUGAGCGGGUGGGAAAUCUUCACAGGUCCUGAUUGGUGGAAUGAAAAGCACGUAAAUGUAAUUUCACACAUACUAAGAAGUAUAUGGAAUAAUGACUGCUCGUUGGACCUUAGUUACCUGCGGCUCUGAUUCUGUCCCUGGUUAAAGAACAGGGGCUCACAUCAUAAGAGCAUGACUGUCGUCAGUCUCUAGACUAAUUCUGUAUGGAUUCGCAAUGGGCUACAAAAUGUUUUAUUCACUAUCUCUCCCUGUGUCCAAGAAGGUCUGGACAGGUGCCUGGGUGUGCUUUGACUAACAUUCUCCCCGAGUCCUUUCCCUUCCUGCAGAAUGGGAGAAUACCCAGUAAUAGCACCUUGUUAAGGAAUUCAGUGAGUGUGAACCCCAUGAGCAGUGCCUAGAAUAGCGCCUGGCAUAUGUUCUAAGUGUUCAAGAACUAAUUUGUCUAGAGACAGACCCCGGGCAGUAUUUUCAGCCAGCACUCAGGGAGCAUUAAGCCGCUGGCGGAAUCAGACUUGCUUUUUCUUAAUCUUUAAGCUAAAAAAAGAUAGCUCCUCUUGGGGUGAUCCUUUGUACGAGGAAAUCCGUAACGUGGCGGGGUGGGUGUUGGCAGGGGGAGAUUUCAGGAUAGAGAAGGAGAGAUGAUUUCUUAAAGCCACUUCCAGAUGAUGUCUUAAAGCUUCCUGCCACCCUGAAUUCCAGAAUAUCAGAUAUAACCAUAAUAUAAACAUAACAGCAUCCUCUUUAAACCAAAGAAAGAAAAAAAAUUCCAAGCUGUUCUGAAUUAUCUGGUUCAUUUGAGAUUGGACUCUGUGUGAUUCGGUCCUAGUGGCAAGGCUCAU
rnacentral:lncRNA from 1 species